rnacentral:rRNA from 1 species
AACGAACGCUGGCGGCAUGCCUAACACAUGCAAGUCGAACGAGACCUUCGGGUCUAGUGGCGCACGGGUGCGUAACGCGUGGGAACCUGCCCUUAGGUUCGGAAUAACUCCCCGAAAGGGGUGCUAAUACCGGAUAAUGUCUUCGGACCAAAGAUUUAUCGCCUUUGGAUGGGCCCGCGUUGGAUUAGCUAGUUGGUAGGGUAAAAGCCUACCAAGGCGACGAUCCAUAGCUGGUCUGAGAGGAUGAUCAGCCACACUGGGACUGAGACACGGCCAGACUCCUACGGGAGGCAGCAGUGGGGAAUAUUGGACAAUGGGCGAAAGCCUGAUCCAGCAAUGCCGCGUGAGUGAUGAAGGCCUUAGGGUUGUAAAGCUCUUUUACCCGGGAUGAUAAUGACAGUACCGGGAGAAUAAGCUCCAGCUAACUCCGUG